UACGUAGGGUGCGAGCGUUGUCCGGAUUUAUUGGGCGUAAAGAGCUCGUAGGCGGUUUGUUGCGUCGGCUGUGAAAUCCCGAGGCUCAACCUCGGGUCUGCAGUCGAUACGAGCAAACUAGAGUGUUGCAGGGGAGACUGGAAUUCCUGGUGUAGCGGUGAAAUGCGCAGAUAUCAGGAGGAACACCGGUGGCGAAGGCAGGUCUCUGGGCAUUAACUGACGCUGAGGAGCGAAAGCAUGGGGAGCGAACAGG
rnacentral:rRNA from 1 species